GAUUUAAGAUUCCCACCAUAUUGUUUCCCCAGCCAGAUAUACUCAUUAAGCCCUCCCAAAUCCCAAUUCCUUUUAGCUACUUCCGCCAUCAGAUUCAUUUCAUUUCUAUUCCCACCUCUCACUACCUCUAACCUCCACUUCUUUGGUCGCAGCUUCCCUUUACUCGACACCCAUUGCCCAUGAGAUUUCCCUAUUCUAAUUUGGUCUGGGUUAUAUUUAACGAAUUGGCGUCCCCAAAGCAAGUGUUCAGCACCAGCGGUUUCAUCAACCUCGCUUUGUGAUUAUGAGGUGAUUGUUCGCUCAAUGAACGAACCUGCAGUUGCAUUCUCCCUAAUUUGGAAUUAAUUGUCUCAAAAGAAGAUUCAUUUUUGGUUUUCAGUUUUCAUCUUCAGAGUAACAGUGGGACAUGGAGUGGUGUAAUUUUAUACAAAUGAGCCUAUGAUUUUAUGGCCUGAGCUUUGUUUUCCAUAUGAUUUGGAAUCAACUGAUGCUUGAAACUUGCUUUAUCCUCUGACUUCUGCAAGUAGAAUAGAAGCCAAUGUCAAUGGGCCUCAAUAUGGGACAGUCGACUGCUUUUUGGUAGCUGCAUGUAGAGAAGCACAAUCUAGUAUCAGAGCAACAUUAUCUUAGCAUCUUUGCUGCAAAAUCAUGCUGGCCAUGACUAGCAAUUUAAUCAUAUGCUUAGACAUUUGUGAAAGGAAAGUUUAGCAACUUUUCUGUGGUAAAAAAACAGCUAUUUUUCUCUUAAAAUCUACUACAUGAACAAAAAGGUAACUAUUCAUUAAUCAUUGGAACGGUUACAAACUUACAAAUAUUAGCAUUGAUAUUUAUCAAUCUCAUAAGCCAUUCCGGCCCAAUUUCAAUACAAAAUAUAUCAAUACAUUCCUUAACUAUGAAAAGAACCACUCUGUUGCAUUCCCUUGGUUGGAAGCAGACCUUGGGUGCACCAGAGUUCUUCAACAGCACUUUUCAGAUCCCUUUGGGGAAUAAGAGCAACACUAUUUACCCCACUCUUUGCCAACACCUCGUUAGAGACUACCAAGCUACCAGUCUCUAUACUAUCAAUCUCCACUUCAAGACGGAGAAUUCCAACUUCAAAUAC